UGUGUGUGUGUGUGUCUCUCUCUGUGUGUGUGUGUGUGUGUGUGUAGAAAGCAGACAACCUCAAUCUGGUUUCAUUCCUGUAGUUAUCAGAACACAUGAGGUGUGUAACAAUUAUCUCUCCUUUCUAAGUGUGAACUUGUCCACUUCCCUUCAUGGAUUUAAAGGAAAUGACUGGUUUAUGUAAACUCCCUCUACCCCAUGUCAACACCAAUCCAAUGCUUUUACAUUUGUGAGGAGUAGAGAAGGAAAGCUACAUUUCACAACUCUUAGUACAAACUCCAAACAUGAAGCCCUCUAAGGAGCCCUCAGAGAGGUGGACAUCAGAGAGAUGGAGGCAGGCGGCAGGGAACUGUUGUAUCUAAUGAAGUCCGGUCCAACGUCGUUGAUCAUGUGGUCAACAGAGGUCUUACCAUGACAGAGGCCGACACAUUAGUUCACCCCAAUCUGAAAAGAUCAACUGGCAAAUUCCAUCAUGAGAACAUUUCACUAAGAAAAGCGAAUAGACAGAAGACCCCAUGGUGGUGGUCGUGUGCUGACUGACCAGCAGGAGAGGACAGUGGAGGAAAUGGUGAGGGACAGGAAUGAUAUACUGACCAGCAGGAGAGGACAGUGGAGGAAAUGGUGAGGGACAGGAAUGAUAUACUGACCAGCAGGAGAGGACAGUGGAGGAAAUGGUGAGGGACAGGAAUGAUAUACUGACCAGCAGGAGAGGACAGUGGAGGAAAUGGUGAGGGACAGGAAUGAUAUACUGACCAGCAGGAGAGGACAGUGGAGGAAAUGGUGAGGGACAGGAAUGAUAUACUGACCAGCAGGAGAGGACAG